rnacentral:rRNA from 1 species
GACAGAGGGUGCAAACGUUGUUCGGAAUUACUGGGCGUAAAGCGAGUGUAGGCGGUCUGAAAAGUCGGAUGUGAAAGCCCCGGGCUCAACCUGGGAAUUGCAUUUGAGACUGCGUAGCUAGGGUGCGGAAGAGGGAAGCGGAAUUUCCGGUGUAGCGGUGAAAUGCGCAGAUAUCAGGAGGAACACCAAUGGCGAAGGCAGCUCGCUGGGACGGUACUGACGCUGAGGCGCGAAAGCGUGGGGAGCAAACAGG